rnacentral:piRNA from 1 species
UGAGCAUGCUCAGACGGGGACUGAUCUG